rfam:Picea glauca, whole genome shotgun sequence.
GUAAUGGUGUCUUUAGACACCACCUUUAUCUUCAAAAUGUUAUUC